UACGGAGGGUGCAAGCGUUGUCCGGAUUUAUUGGGUUUAAAGGGUGCGUAGGUGGCCUUGUAAGUCAGUGGUGAAAGUCUGCAGCUUAACUGUAGAAUUGCCAUUGAUACUGCGAGGCUUGAGUACUGAUGAGGUAGGCGGAAUUGACAGUGUAGCGGUGAAAUGCAUAGAUAUUGUCAAGAACACCGAUCGCGAAGGCAGCUUACUAAGGAGUAACUGACACUGAGGCACGAAAGCGUGGGGAUCAAACAGG
rnacentral:rRNA from 1 species